UACGGAGGAUCCAAGCGUUAUCCGGAAUCAUUGGGUUUAAAGGGUCCGUAGGCGGUUUAGUAAGUCAGUGGUGAAAUCCCAUCGCUCAACGGUGGAACGGCCAUUGAUACUGCUAGACUUGAAUUAUUAGGAAGUAACUAGAAUAUGUAGUGUAGCGGUGAAAUGCUUAGAGAUUACAUGGAAUACCAAUUGCGAAGGCAGGUUACUACUAAUAUAUUGACGCUGAUGGACGAAAGCGUGGGGAGCAAACAGG
rnacentral:rRNA from 1 species